UACAGGGGGUGCAAGCGUUAAUCGGAAUUACUGGGCGUAAAGCGCACGUAGGCGGGUAUUUAAGUCAGAUGUGAAAUCCUUGGGCUUAACCUAAGAAUUGCAUCUGAGACUGGAUGCCUAGAGUAUGGUAGAGGAAAGUGGAACUCCCGGUGUAGCGGUGAAAUGCGUAGAUAUCGGGAAGAACACCAGUGGCGAAGGCGACUUUCUGGACCAAUACUGACGCUCAGGUGCGAAAGCGUGGGGAGCAAACAAG
rnacentral:misc_RNA from 1 species